rnacentral:rRNA from 1 species
GAUGAACGCUGGCGGCGUGCCUAAUACAUGCAAGUCGAGCGAACAGACGAGGAGCUUGCUCCUCUGACGUUAGCGGCGGACGGGUGAGUAACACGUGGAUAACCUACCUAUAAGACUGGGAUAACUUCGGGAAACCGGAGCUAAUACCGGAUAAUAUAUUGAACCGCAUGGUUCAAUAGUGAAAGACGGUUUUGCUGUCACUUAUAGAUGGAUCCGCGCCGCAUUAGCUAGUUGGUAAGGUAACGGCUUACCAAGGCAACGAUGCGUAGCCGACCUGAGAGGGUGAUCGGCCCCACUGGAACUGGGACACGGUCCAGACUCCUACGGGAGGCAGCAGUAGGGAAUCUUCCGCAAUGGGCGAAAGCCUGACGGAGCAACGCCGCGUGAGUGAUGAAGGUCUUCGGAUCGUAAAACUCUGUUAUUAGGGAAGAACAAAUGUGUAAGUAACUAUGCACGUCUUGACGGUACCUAAUCAGAAAGCCACGGCUAACUACGUG